UCUCCGUAGGUGAACCUGCGGAGGGAUCAUUACAGAGUUCUCGCCCUCGCGGGUAGAUCUCCCACCCACCGUUAUCGUUACUGUGUUCCUUUGGCGGGCCGCCGGGCCCCGCUCGGCCGCCGGCUCCGGCUGGCGCGCGCCCGCCAGAGGCCCAGCAAACUCUGAAUGUUAGUGUCGUCUGAGUACUAUAUAAUAGUUAAAACUUUCAACAACGGAUCUCUUGGUUCUG
rnacentral:misc_RNA from 1 species